UUUUAGAAGAAGACAAAUGCUUUGCCUAUAUAUACAUCCACCCUCCGUUCACUCCACUGUUCCUCUUCAAGCAUUUUCUCAAACAUGAAUAUCUCUUUUACUAUAAAACCUUCUUUCACAACUCAAAGAUCAAAAACACAUGUCCUAACCUCCAGAAAUAUGAGGUUGAUCGCCCAUUUCAAAAGAAACGCUUGGUUACCACCACCAUCACCACAGACAGAAUCCAUCUGGAAGAAUGGAUUAAAAGAGAAGAUGGAGGUAGUAAGGGCAUUGGGUUUGAUGUCAAUACACGACACAUUGUGGUUGAAGAUGAACAGAC
rnacentral:lncRNA from 1 species